rnacentral:lncRNA from 1 species
CAGAUAGCAUGACAUGUCCAGACUUAUUCACUGAGAUGAUCCAAUCAAAUUAUUUCCUUUUUCUUCGGGGCAUUAGCAACGGCUGCAUGUGAAAGUGUCUGCUGUGUAAUUAUUCUGUCACGUCAAACACCGUAGACGAACUUGUGUGUCUCUUCUUGAACAACCUGCAACCUCCAAGCUUGAGGAUUAAACUCGACGCAGAAAUGCUUAAAACUAAACAAAAGCCUAAAAUAUAAACAUGUGUACAACUUGGUUUUAACACAGAGUCUAAAAGCUUCAUAGUCUAUCAGCAGCAGGGGUUCAUUUUCAAAGACGGUAAGUUUGGCGAGUUAGAGGCAUGACUUCACUUCAGGAAGACUGUAGGAGCUCAGAGAGACCGAUAACCAAUCAGAGAAAUAAAGGAAAAAUGUAAUCAUGCACGUUUUUGAAACUGCUUCAUCCACUUAUUCAGAACUGCAGCAGGAACACAUACAAUGGACCAUCCUGAGGUAGAAGCUGCUGUCUUGGUUGGUCCAGAGUACCUGAAAUCACCGGGAAAUCAGCUGACAGCUCUAAACCUGCAAGCAAAAAUGAAGAUGUUACGAUACUACAUAGUAUUUUGUCUCCACAGUGUCACUGAGAGACUUCAAAAGUUAAUGUAAGUUUAUAAACAUGCUUGAUGCACAUUUAUAUUUGUACUCUACAAACCUGCAGGGGUAUAAGAAUGUAAAUUGGCUUCUUAUUAAUGUGCACUGUCUCUUUAAAAAAGCAACUCACUCAACAUCUAUAUAUUUUUUAACUUUUAGCGGCUGCAUUCACCUGUUCAUGCUGAACUUUUGCAGGAAAAAAGUCCAAUCAAAGUCAAGGUGAAACUUUUGUUUGUGUUUACAGAAUUGCAGGAAUAUUUCUGAAGUUUGGUGCAAAUAUUAAAGCAGACAUUGAGUGUCACCAUCCUCUAAAUCCACAGAUUUACACAUCCAACAUGGCCGCCAGAGUGGAGGUUACGUCACAUGAAAGGAAAACAGCAUUUUUUAAAAAUUUUCACAAGAGUCAUAUGAUGAGUUUGUGGUGAUUUCCCAUCAGAGUCAGGAGACCAGAUCAGUUUGACCUGAUGGUUGUGUCUAUCAGGUGUUCUUGCUGCCAUGACCACACACACACACACACACACACACACACACACACAGACACACACACACGUGCAGACUCAGAGCAGACAGCGCUGUAGGAAACGCUCAGCUUUUGUUUAAUAAACAUGUUGACGCUCCGACAGCCAAUCAGAGAGCAGCUCUUUCAAACACACACACAUACACACACCUCUCUGACCCAGACAUAUAUGCUCGGAGCAAUGUUAACACCUACACACACAAACAAGUCUGUCUUAUAUUCUGACGGUUCGCCCUCGGUUGUUCCCAGAAAUCAGAGACGAUCACAACGAGACGACAGGCGAGGCCCUCGGGACCCACAACACACAUGUACUGUAACUGUACCUGCACAACACACACACACACGCACACACUACAGCAGUGAGUGGUAAUCAUUUUAAACACGCCUGAAUACCUGUUUGUGCUCACGUGACUUCCUCAAGCGUCUCAUUAAAACCUUAAUCCUCUUUAUUUCACACUUGAACCCGAGCUGGAGUGUUUGUUUGGAUCCAGAGGGAGUGAAAAGUGUGUCUGAUGAUAAUUACUGCAUUUUUUAAUUUAAUUAAGACUAAAACAGCACCACACCUCUGCUUUGUCGGGGCCCGUGUACGUUCUAAUCUGAGGUUACAGUGAUAGAGUGAAGGUGUCACGUGCGGCCUCAGUAUGACUGAGAGGUAAAACAUGCAGCUCUCAGGUGUGUGUGAUGACUAUUUUUAGGGUCAGUGUUGCGAAACAACAAAAAGUUCCACUUCACUCCUCAGCAUGUGUGUUUUUGUUUGUUUGUGAGCGUGCCAGAGGUUCAACCACAACACUAGACCGUCCUACUCUACCUGUAAAUUACAGAGUACACUGUAGCUACUGUCAUAACAAACUACACCUGAGUGUCAUGUGACCUCCCGCCAUUAUGUAAGAGAUCUGGCUCUGUUCGCCAAUGACAUCAUCUUGAGAUAAGAGUCUUCUCCAUGUCGGACAACCGUGGUGAAGAGGGUUCGAUCGAUAUUCCAACCCUCAACUCUGACCUGAAGCUGUGAGCAACGACUGAGAGAGGAAGAUCUCAAGAAGUUAGAGAGAGUCUUAAAGACGGGGUCAGGGUCUGGAGGAGAGUCUUGUAAAGAAGUCAGUCGUAAUGGUUCAGGCAUUUAUAAGAAAGCCUUCGAGGUGACUUUCCUUAAAGGUGUUGAAGGUGUAGCGAGGUAGGAGGAGCCCAGAGUUCCCUGGGAGAACUACAUGUCACCACAGAAUUCCAACUGGAAAACACUGCUGGAAAGACGGAUGCUUAGACUGACUAACGCCAAACGUUCAUUCAGAACGGCAGCAAUAAGGCCAUUGGCGUCGAUCAACACUGAUUGUUUCCAUUCAAGUUAAUGUGUCAAAUUCUACAGGCUUCUUUCUGGCUCCCCUGCGGUACAGUCGGCUUCGUAGACAAUUACCAGGGUUCUAUUUUUUCCAGACACUAGAGCAUGGUGGAUAAAUUCAGCACAGAUUAACCCGUACUGGAAAGGAAGUCGGGCACAGACACAAAAUAAAACAUCUGGCUUCUUUUCAAAAUAAAACACUCCAUGUUUCAAGCGGAUCAUAUUCCAUGCAAACAUGGUUUGAUUCCUCGAUAAAGAUAAAUGUUGCUCUUACCCAUGGUUAAUUCCCAAUCUCCACAAAAGUGUCUGAUCUACUGGGCUGAACAGAGUAGAUUUCCUCCUCUGGAAGGACACAAUCUACUGCAAAUAUGUCUAUGUGGCUGUCUUUAUAGAGACAACUCGUUAUCAUGAGAUUGCAUGUGAAUUCACAGGUUCUUGUGAGUCCUUGUGAUUCCUGCUGUCUAAAAUUUGCCUCACAAACGCAUCCGAUAGGAAUUGGCGGACAGUGAAAAUAGCCACAGUUCAGAUGCGGUGGAAUCGGUGCAGUGAAACUUGUCCUGAACUUUUACCAGCACUGCAGUAAAAUCUCUUUCUGAAUUUUCACCCAGUGUGAGUCGUUGUUGAGGUGAUCAGGUGACUGAAGUGGACCUGGGAGAGCCAGAGGUUAGAGAAGCAAAAUCUGUUUGGAAAUCAAGUCGACUCAUUCAUCUGUUUGCACUAAAAACUGCCAUGGUAUGUCUCUGUUGCUCAGUCAGCCAUCAUAUCCUGCUUCCAGAGAUCGACCAUCUCCACUCUUCCUCUAACAGGCUGAACUUCACUUUGUGAGGGAUGAAUGAAAAAGCAACUUCUGAUGGUUUUCUGGGGCAGUGGUCUUGAGAAAUAUUCAAAGUUGUCUCCAUCAUAAAGACGAAGGAGAGCUGACAUUAAUUUCUAAAACAGUGUCAUGAACAAGAAAACCAACAUUUCAGUCUUUGUGUUUGGCACCGUCUGUUGUCGUUCUGUCCUUUUAGUGGACUCAUAUGUGGACUCAUAUGUGGACAGUGUGACAGAUGAAGCUGUGAGUUAUGUCCACCUCUGCUCGGCCCUGUGUCAGCGUUUGUCCUUGACUGGGGAUGAGUUGUGUGAAAAGGGGGGUUUUCGGCCCAAUCCGGAUCAGGACCUGCAGCCUUUAAAUCACUCCCGGGGUCACGGCAAAAUCAUGACCGCCAGAUUAGAUGGAAACACACUCUCUCUCUUUAUCACUGUCUGAUUAGACACUGAGGGAGGGAGGAGGAAGAAGAGAUGACGAAGAAGAGAGAAAAACAUCCUCGACUUUCAGUUUCAGAGAUUUCAGAGUGUUUUUCCACUCCUGACGGUGGCCCGCUUACAUCUCUCCUCUCUGUGUCUCCAGGUGUGGCUGUAAGAGAAAGCCAGAGUCUCCCCAUAUCAGCUGUCAGACUGCAUGACUCAUCACGCAUGUCUGGCUAUUAAUGACUCACACACACACACA